CCAUCUGGAAAUAGAUAGUGUACUUUUCUUUUAUCUUUUUGCUUUUGCUUUUCUUGUCUUUUUCUUUCCUGGAAAAAUAUAUUUCCUCUCCUUUGAAAUUUCAAUCUUGCGAGAUCUCAUCGAUGGGAGAGGAAGUGAGGAUGAAGGAAGUUUCGGGCGACGGAGAAAGGGUAAUGGAAUGGGAGAAGGGGCUACCAAGCGACGAAGAUUUGGCGUCGCUCUCGUACUCUCUUGUCCCUUCGAAUCUCGCGAUGGCUUUCAGCAUAACCCCGGAGAAGAGCCGUACCAUCCAGGACGUGAAUCGUGCUUCGGAGACGACCUUCUCGUCGCUGCGCGGCGGAUCUCCCGGUCCCAACACCUCUUCGUCCACCAACCUCGGCGUCGCGGCGGCGGAGGAGGAGGAGGAGGAAGAUCGAGUAGGAUCGAGCAGUCCCGGGUCGGAUUCCAAGAAACAAAAGAUAUCGGAGGAGGAAGGAGAUUCGGGAACUGAACUGAAACGGGCGCGUUUGGUGUGGACGCCGCAGCUGCACAAGAGAUUCGUGGAUGUCGUGGCUCACUUGGGCAUUAAAAACGCAGUGCCGAAGACGAUCAUGCAGCUGAUGAACGUCCAAGGAUUGACUCGAGAGAACGUCGCGUCCCACCUCCAGAAGUACAGGCUCUACCUCAAACGGAUGCACGGAUUCACUUCGGAAGGUCCCUCUUCUUCCGAUAAGCUCUUCUCCUCAACCCCUGUGCCUCCACAGAGCUUCCAAGACCAAGGGAGUGCAUCUGCCGGAGCGCCCUCGAUGAUGCAGAUGCCAGUCUAUGCGCACCAUAUGGGUAUGCAAGGGUAUCAUCACCAGAAUCACGCUCAUGAUCCUUAUCAUCAGAACCAUCAUCGCGGAAGUGGCGCACCUGCAAAUCCGUAUAUGAUGCAGCAGAACAAGUUCGGAUCCAUGGCGUCUUAUCCUCCUGUCGGGGGUGGAAGCGCUAAUGAGAAUUAAAAUGAAUUGAAUAGGUUCUUUUUACGAGUUUUUCUAAGCCCAUCGUCAUCAUUGCAUCAUACAUAGGAGAUCAGCUGUUCAGACAACCCAUCAUGUCGAAACUAGACCAAUGACUAUUGUUGGAAUACAUGAAGACCUCUGACUAGUUUCAUCUACUGAUUUCUAUUAUUGUAAUUUGAGAUUAGAACGUACUGCGGUUGCUUUGGUCGGAGUUUAACACACACGUUUUAAUGUCUGAUGAGGCUGGGGGUAGUGCUACACGUCGUGAAGUUGAUCCAGGAAGAAAAUAUGGGAUCAUGUUGAAUAACAAUUCCAACUCUUGGAAGUGUAUCUUCUGUAAGAACAACUUCAACGCUGGAAUUUCACGUCUCAAGCAACACUUGAGAGGGGAUCAUAGGAAUGCCAAAGCUUGUACUUUAUGUCCACCACAUGUGAGAGAGGCGUUAAUCAAACACAAGCAGAUGAAGGAUGAUGAGAUAGCUGCUCGUAACUUGGCUCUCCAAGAAGAAGAAGAAGGUCUUGACGAGUAUGAUGAAGAAUGCGGGAAAGAAAGUCAGCCGCGACGGUCUGUCCAUGCUAAGAAGAGGAGAGUUAGAGGUCCACUGGACAGGUAUGUGAUUGUUCCUCCUCCUGAUGUUUUGCAAGGAAGGAAAG